CCUACGGGAGGCAGCAGUGAGGAAUAUUGGUCAAUGGACGAGAGUCUGAACCAGCCAAGUAGCGUGAAGGAUGACUGCCCUAUGGGUUGUAAACUUCUUUUAUAUGGGAAUAAAAUGUUCCACGUGUGGGAUUUUGUAUGUACCAUAUGAAUAAGGAUCGGCUAACUCCGUGCCAGCAGCCGCGGUCAUACGGAGGAUCCGAGCGUUAUCCGGAUUUAUUUGGUUUAAAGGGAGAGUAGGUGGAUUGUUAAGUCAGUUGUGAAAGUUUGCGGCUCAACCGUAAAAUUGCAGUUGAAAAUGGCAGUCUUGAGUACAGUAGAGGUGGGCGGAAUUCGUGGUGGAGCGGUGAAAUGCUUAGAUAUCACGAAGAACUCCGAUUGCGAAGGCAGCUCACUGGACUGCAACUGACACUGAGGCUCGAAAGUGUGGGUAUCAAACAGGAUUAGAUACCCGUGUAGUC
rnacentral:rRNA from 1 species